GAUGAACGCUGGCGGCGUGCCUAAUACAUGCCAGUCGAGCGAACGGACGAGAAGCUUGCUUCUCUGAUGUUAGCGGCGGACGGGUGAGUAACACGUGGAUAACCUACCUAUAAGACUGGGAUAACUUCGGGAAACCGGAGCUAAUACCGGAUGAUAUUUUGAACCGCAUGGUUCAAAAGUGAAAGACGGUCUUGCUGUCACUUAUAGAUGGGUCCGCGCUGCAUUAGCUAGUUGGUAAGGUAACGGCUUACCAAGGCAACGAUGCAUAGCCGACCUGAGAGGGUGAUCGGCCACACUGGAACUGAGACACGGUCCAGACUCCUACGGGAGGCAGCAGUAGGGAAUCUUCCGCAAUGGGCGAAAGCCUGACGGAGCAACGCCGCGUGAGUGAUGAAGGUCUUCGGAUCGUAAAACUCUGUUAUUAGGGAAGAACAUAUGUGUAAGUAACUGUGCACAUCUUGACGGUACCUAAUCAGAAAGCCACGGCUAACUACGUG
rnacentral:rRNA from 1 species